UGGGGAAUAUUGCACAAUGGGCGAAAGCCUGAUGCAGCAACGCCGCGUGAGUGAUGAAGGCCUUCGGGUUGUAAAGCUCUGUCUUUUGGGACGAUAAUGACGGUACCAAAGGAGGAAGCCACGGCUAACUACGUGCCAGCAGCCGCGGUAAUACGUAGGUGGCAAGCGUUGUCCGGAUUUACUGGGCGUAAAGGAUGCGUAGGCGGAUUUUUAAGUGAGAUGUGAAAACCCUAAGCUUAACUUGGGGACUGCAUUUCAUACUGGAAAAUCUAGAGUGCGGGAGAGGAGAAUGGAAUUCCUAGUGUAGCGGUGAAAUGCGUAGAGAUUAGGAAGAACACCAGUGGCGAAGGCGAUUCUCUGGACCGUAACUGACGCUGAGGCAUGAAAGCGUGGGUAGCAAACAGGAUUAGAUACCCUGGUAGUCCACGCCGUAAACGAUGAGUACUAGGUGUAGGAGGUAUCGACCCCUUCUGUGCCGCAGUUAACACAAUAAGUACUCCGCCUGGGAAGUACGAUCGCAAGAUUAAAAACUC
rnacentral:rRNA from 1 species